UACGUAGGGGGCGAGCGUUGUCCGGAUUCAUUGGGCGUAAAGGGCGCGUAGGCGGAUACUUAAGUCGGGGGUGAAAGCCCAGGGCUCAACCCUGGAACAGCCUUCGAUACUGGGUAUCUUGAGUACGGGAGAGGUGUGUGGAACUCCGAGUGUAGAGGUGAAAUUCGUAGAUAUUCGGAAGAACACCAGUGGCGAAGGCGACACACUGGCCCGUUACUGACGCUGAGGCGCGAAAGCGUGGGGAGCAAACAGGG
rnacentral:rRNA from 1 species